GGGCUCGUAGCUCAGCUGGAUAGAGUGCUUGACUACGAAUCAAGAGGUCGUGGGUUCGAAUCCCGCCGGGCUCACCA
rnacentral:tRNA from 1 species